rnacentral:rRNA from 1 species
AUUGAACGCUGGCGGCAGGCCUAACACAUGCAAGUCGAACGGUAACAGGAAGAAGCUUGCUUCUUUGCUGACGAGUGGCGGACGGGUGAGUAAUGUCUGGGAAACUGCCUGAUGGAGGGGGAUAACUACUGGAAACGGUAGCUAAUACCGCAUAACGUCGCAAGACCAAAGAGGGGGACCUUCGGGCCUCUUGCCACCGGAUGUGCCCAGAUGGGAUUAGCUAGUAGGUGGGGUAACGGCUCACCUAGGCGACGAUCCCUAGCUGGUCUGGGAGGAUGACAGGCACCCCAGAAACGAGGCCAGGGACCAGCCCCAUAGGGAAGGCAGCGGGGGGGAAUGUUGACAAGUGGGGGAAGGCCUGAUGAAGCAAGGCGGGUUGAAUGAAGAAGGCCUUCGGUUGUAAAGUACUUUCAGCGGGGAGGAAGGGAGUAAAGUUAAUACCUUUGCUCAUUGACGUUACCCGCAGAAGAAGCACCGGCUAACUCCGUG